rnacentral:rRNA from 1 species
UUUAUGGAGAGUUUGAUCCUGGCUCAGAGUGAACGCUGGUGGCGUGCCUAAUACAUGCAAGUCGAACGAUGAAGCUUCUAGCUUGCUAGAAUGCUGAUUAGUGGCGCACGGGUGAGUAACGCAUAGGUCAUGUGCCUUUUAGUUUGGGAUAGCCAUUGGAAACGAUGAUUAAUACCAGAUACUCCCUACGGGGGAAAGAUUUAUCGCUAAGAGAUCAGCCUAUGUCCUAUCAGCUUGUUGGUAAGGUAAUGGCUUACCAAGGCUAUGACGGGUAUCCGGCCUGAGAGGGUGAACGGACACACUGGAACUGAGACACGGUCCAGACUCCUACGGGAGGCAGCAGUAGGGAAUAUUGCUCAAUGGGGGAAACCCUGAAGCAGCAACGCCGCGUGGAGGAUGAAGGUUUUAGGAUUGUAAACUCCUUUUGUUAGAGAAGAUAAUGACGGUAUCUAACGAAUAAGCACCGGCUAACUCCGUGCCAGCAGCCGCGGUAAUACGGAGGGUGCAAGCGUUACUCGGAAUCACUGGGCGUAAAGAGCGCGUAGGCGGGAUAGUCAGUCAGGUGUGAAAUCCUAUGGCUUAACCAUAGAACUGCAUUUGAAACUACUAUUCUAGAGUGUGGGAGAGGUAGGUGGAAUUCUUGGUGUAGGGGUAAAAUCCGUAGAGAUCAAGAGGAAUACUCAUUGCGAAGGCGACCUGCUGGAACAUUACUGACGCUGAUUGCGCGAAAGCGUGGGGAGCAAACAGGAUUAGAUACCCUGGUAGUCCACGCCCUAAACGAUGGAUGCUAGUUGUUGGAGGGCUUAGUCUCUCCAGUAAUGCAGCUAACGCAUUAAGCAUCCCGCCUGGGGAGUACGGUCGCAAGAUUAAAACUCAAAGGAAUAGACGGGGACCCGCACAAGCGGUGGAGCAUGUGGUUUAAUUCGACGAUACACGAAGAACCUUACCUAGGCUUGACAUUGAGAGAAUCCGCUAGAAAUAGUGGAGUGUCUGGCUUGCCAGACCUUGAAAACAGGUGCUGCACGGCUGUCGUCAGCUCGUGUCGUGAGAUGUUGGGUUAAGUCCCGCAACGAGCGCAACCCCCUUUCUUAGUUGCUAACAGGUUAUGCUGAGAACUCUAAGGAUACUGCCUCCGUAAGGAGGAGGAAGGUGGGGACGACGUCAAGUCAUCAUGGCCCUUACGCCUAGGGCUACACACGUGCUACAAUGGGGUGCACAAAGAGAAGCAAUACUGCGAAGUGGAGCCAAUCUUCAAAACACCUCUCAGUUCGGAUUGUAGGCUGCAACUCGCCUGCAUGAAGCUGGAAUCGCUAGUAAUCGCAAAUCAGCCAUGUUGCGGUGAAUACGUUCCCGGGUCUUGUACUCACCGCCCGUCACACCAUGGGAGUUGUGUUUGCCUUAAGUCAGGAUGCUAAAUUGGCUACUGCCCACGGCACACACAGCGACUGGGGUGAAGUCGUAACAAGGUAACCGUAGGUGAACCUGCGGUUGGAUCACCUCCUUU